UACGUAGGUGACAAGCGUUUGUCCGGAUUUACUGGGCGUAAAGAGCGCGCAGGCGGUCGAUCAAGUCGAGUGUGAAAGCCCCCGGCUCAACUGGGGAGGGUCAUUCGAUACUGAUCGACUCGAAGGCAGGAGAGGGUAGUGGAAUUCCCGGUGUAGUGGUGAAAUGCGUAGAGAUCGGGAGGAACACCUGUGGCGAAGGCGGCCCCCUGGGCCGGCCCUGACACUGAGACGCGAAGGCGUGGGGAGCGAACGGG
rnacentral:rRNA from 1 species